rnacentral:rRNA from 1 species
AACGAAAGCUGGCGGCAGGCUUAACACAUGCAAGUCGAACGCCCCGCAAGGGGAGUGGCGCACGGGUGAGGAACACGCGGGGAUCUGCCCUUUAGUUCGGAACAACAUCGGGAAACUGAUGCUACUACCGGCUACGCUAUAAGGUCUUGGCGACCAUAUAGGACAGAUUUAUCGCUAAAGGAUGAACCCGCGUUAGAUUAGCUAGUUGGUGGGGUAAUGGCCUGCCAAGGCGACGAUCUAUAGCUGGUCUGAGAGGACGAUCAGCCACACUGGAACUGAGACACGGUCCAGACUCCUACGGGAGGCAGCAGUGGGGAAUAUUGGACAAUGGGCGAAAGCCUGAUCCAGCCAUGCCGCGUGAGUGAUGAAGGCCUUCGGGUUGUAAAGCUCUUUUAGAUGGGAAGAUAAUGACGUUACCAUCAGAAUAAGCCCCGGCUAACUUCGUGCCAGCAGCCGCCGUAA